GAACCAAACAAAUUUCGUUGAGCUGGUUUAUAAACCCACGAAUGUGCCCACCCUAAUUUGCCGGGAGGCAGACCUGGAUCCGGCCCGGAAGUCGUUGACCCACAAAUAUAGGCAGUGUGUAGACUAGUGGACUGACUGUAUACUUUUAUCUCAGCUCUCUCCUCCUUCCCUGCUGUGCAGAGAGUCUGCACAAAAAUGGCUUUGCAAUUGCAAGUGCAACUGCAUACUCCUCUUAGUAACAACUACCAAUUACAUAUUCACCGACGUCUAAAUCAACAACCCAACCGCCAAAUCUUUGUUCCAUUAUCCUAAUCUCACAGUCUCUGAGCUCCCUUCGUUCUCGGUCGAUAUCUCCGUGUGCAUUUCUUUCUGUUACUGACUCUUUUUUUGUUCCAAUAUUGUUUUCUUUUUGUUUUGAUACAAAGAUAUUCUACUCUAGAUACAAGUUGGACUAAGCCAUCAUUAUUUAUUUGGUAUUGAAUUCAUCUCACAUGAUUGUACUAGAUAGAAGGCUCACAUGAGCAUUGGUUAUGCAAUGUGAUGGGGUGAGAGUGGGAAGAGAGAAUGCGGCACGUCGGGACGCGAAAAGAUUAGAUUGAGGAUAAUACUUGCAUUCCCAGUAGGAGACGAACCCAUUCUUUCACUUGCAAAUAUCGUAUCUUUACCAUAGAAAUUUCAUAAUCGAAACUAUUCAAUCUCUUAAUCUUCAUUUGUAUCCCUACAAAAAAUCAUUUGAACAAGAAGCAUAUUCAUGAUGAACCAUAGAUUUAUUUCAUAUAUUUGGAGGACUAAAUGAUAUCUGAUGCCCUAGGGUUGAUCUUCAAAUGAAGAUUAGAACAUUAAAAUAGUUCCGUUUGUGAAAGUUUUACAGUGAAGAUACGUUAUAAGUAACUGUGGGAAUGAGCUCACAUGCUUAAUUGGAAGAACAUAAAACUUGAGAGUAAUCCAAGCAGACGAUUGAAUCUAGUAUUAAGUGACAUUGUGACGCAGAUUUAGUUGACAUUCUUCGUUGGUUUUGUUUGUUUCUUGGUUACUACUUGGACAAAGAUAGUUUUCACGUGCUUACAUCAAAUUUAUCAUCAUUAGGAUGAUGCAAACAUAUAUGUCUUGUAGUAAUAAUAGAAACUCAAAUCUUUCCUUCAGGCUAGAAAAUUGAAUCUUUAAUUGCGCUGAAAUCAGGUGAAGAGAUGCUAAGAAAAGCUAACGGUAUUAUUGUCAACUUAAAGUUUUAUGCUCUCGACAAACAGCGUUUUGAUUUGCAACGGCUGCAAUGCAUUUAAUGGUUUUUGUCAACUUAAACGUUUUGUGCUGUCGAUAAAACAGGAUUGUUUGCAACUACUGCAAUGCAUUUUUCUGGAGCACCAAAACCUGGGCUUGUUCUCUUAAACAAGUCGAUCAUGACUGCCAUGGUGGCAUGACAAUGUGCUCAUGCACAUGUAACCCUUGCUGGUACAUAUUGGCUCUUGUCCUUCCACCUUUCACAAGGUUUACCAACAGGUUCUUGAACCUUGUUUAAAUGAAUUGGUUGGUCAUCAUUAAACCUUGUUUGGAUGAAGAGUUUAGUGAAAGUGAGCUACUUCCACAGAAGGUUGAGUUUUAAACCGCUACACUUAAAACUGGAGUUUGUCUGAAUGUAGUUGUUUAAGUGAUUUACAUGCCAAGACUUAAACAACCAUAUUCAGCCAAUAUUUUGUAGAAUCCCCUUUCAUCUUAAUAUUUUGUAGACUAUGUUUUUUGGUAUGUGGAAAGAUACGCAUACAAAAGAAGUGGAUUCUUUUUCUCAUUUUUAAAGUAACAAAAACCUUUUUCCACGGCCCAGGUACUAUGCACCUGCAUUAGGGUUUUUGAUGUUUUCAGUUGGGGUUAGUUCCAGCGAAAAGGAUUUCCUCAAAGCUUUUAAGAGGCCGACAUCUGUUUUAGCUGGUUAUACUGGUCAAUUUCUUGUCAAGCCGCUCCUUGGGUAUGUUUUUGGAUUUAUCGCGGUAGCAAUUUUUGGUCUUCCAACUCCAGUAGGUAAGAAGAUUCACCCUGCCUCCCUGUCAGAACACUAGAAUGAAAGUGUGAACUUUUCUUAUAUCUGUGAUCAGGUGCUGGGAUUAUAUUGGUAUCUUGUGUUAAUGGUGCCCAGUCUCAAACUAUGCUACUAUUCUGACUGGACCCGACAGUGGCCCCUCUGAGCAUUGUCAUGGCAUCAUUAUCUACUGCUUCUGCAGUAUUUAUCACACCAUUCUUAUCGUUAUUGCUCAUUGGAAAGAGAUUGUUGACUUAAGGGGAAUGGUGUCCAGCUAGCAUUCUGCAGAUUAUAGUCACUUCCAGUUGCUGCAGGCUUGCUUUUGAAUCCAUGAUACACCAACUCUGGAUAAUAUCGAUUUUAACACAAUGUUCAUUUGGAGAGAUUCUGACUUGUCUUAUAUAUUGCACCUUCAGGUUUCUUCUCCACAUAUGUGAUGCCAUUCGGCCAUUUUUGCCUCCGCUAUCUGUGUGUUGGAGCACCACUUGCCAUUAACAUUGAGCCUGAUAUGUCUUCUUUUGGACUAACCGUUUUGUUGCUCUUUAUCGCAUGUUAUUUGACGGUUUUUAUAGCUGGCUAUUUUCUUACUGGCGUGGUCUCUCAUACGACACCUGAUGUUAAAGCUCUGCAAAGAACACUAUCCUAUGGGACAGGUUCUAGCUUUCUCUCUUAUCACUUAUCAAUACAUAAUAUUUAGGAAUUUAUGACACUAUUAAUCAUUCGCUUUUGCAGGAAUGCAAAGAAGUCUUCUGGCCCUUGCAAAUAGAUUUUUCCAAGAUCUGCAAUCUCUAUGAAUCAAUAUCUUUGGCUUAUAUACCAAUUUUGUUUUCUUUUUACACCAAUUCAUAUCAUGUCACUUAACCUUACUGCAAGCAGAAAGGUUCUUCUGCAAGCACUAAACUUCUGCAUUAAGUUUAAGAUAUUCACUAUUUUUACUGUUGUCUACUGACUGUGAUCAUGUCUUUGGUGGGCUUCUCCCUCGUCAUGGUUUGCGCAAAAAAGAAAGAACUAUGACAAAGCGCAUCUCAAUUGUCGAAAGUUGGUUUGAUGGCUUGCAGCAUAUGGAGAACUUUUUUUUAUCGAAACGUAUGGAGAACUACGACUGAAGUUUAAAUAAUUUUGUACUAUUACACUAUGUUUGGACGGGGGAAUAAAUUUGGAAUUUUGAC